UGGGGAAUUUUGGACAAUGGGCGAAAGCCUGAUCCAGCAAUGCCGCGUGUGUGAAGAAGGCCUUCGGGUUGUAAAGCACUUUUGUCCGGAAAGAAAUCCUCUGGGUUAAUACCUCGGGGGGAUGACGGUACCGGAGGAAUAAGCACCGGCUAACUACGUGCCAGCAGCCGCGGUAAUACGUAGGGUGCAAGCGUUAAUCGGAAUUACUGGGCGUAAAGCGUGCGCAGGCGGUUUUGUAAGACGGAUGUGAAAUCCCCGGGCUUAACCUGGGAACUGCAUUCGUGACUGCAAGGCUAGAGUAUGGCAGAGGGGGGUAGAAUUCCACGUGUAGCAGUGAAAUGCGUAGAGAUGUGGAGGAAUACCGAUGGCGAAGGCAGCCCCCUGGGCCAAAUACUGACGCUCAUGCACGAAAGCGUGGGGAGCAAACAGGAUUAGAUACCCUGGUAGUCCACGCCCUAAAACGAUGUCAACUAGUUGUUGGGGAUUCAUUUCCUUAGUAACGUAGCUAACGCGUGAAGUUGACCGCCUGGGGAGUACGGUCGCAAGAUUAAAACUCAAAGGAAUUGACGGGGUCAUAGCUG
rnacentral:rRNA from 1 species